CCUACGGGAGGCAGCAGUGAGGAAUAUUGGUCAAUGGACGGAAGUCUGAACCAGCCAUGCCGCGUGCAGGAAGACGGCUCUAUGAAUUGUAAACUGCUUUUGUGCAAGGGUAAACCUGAAUACGUGUAUUCCGCUGAAAAUACUGUACUAAUACUGAUCGGCUAACUCCGUGCCAGCAGCCGCCGUAAUCGGGAGGAUCCAAGCGUUGUCCGGAUUUAUUGGGUUUAUAGUGCGCGUAGGCGGAUUGAUAAGUUAGAGGUGAACUGUCCGAGCUUAACUCGGGAACGGCCUCUAAUACUGUGGGACUAGAGAGAAGAUGCGGGAGGCGGAAUGUAUGGUGUAGCAGUGAAAUGCUUAGAGAUCAAGAAGAACACCGAUUGCGAAGGCAGGUUACCAAUCAAUAUCUGACGUUGAGGCACGAAGGCGAGGGGAGCAAACGGGAUUAGAUACCCUUGUAGUC
rnacentral:rRNA from 1 species